GCUAAGGAAUGGUUAACUUACCUAAGUUUUGAUCUUAACCUGUCAAUGAGGGAAAAGCCAGGAAUGUAAAAUUAAACACAAUAGCUCAACACAACUAGUCAAAUACAAGAAACAAUCGUGUUGUAGAAAAUAGUAAAAGCCUAGAAGCUAUAGCUAGAGGCAAACUGCAUUUAUGAACUUUCCUUGGUGCUUGGAACUUUUGUGUCUUGCUUCUCUUCUUGACUAACCUCAAUGGCCUUUUCGACUGGGGGCUGAGCAGAGGCAUCAGGCUCCUUUUUCAACUCACUUUCAAACUCUUUUGCAGCCUGUUGAAAACUCUUGACAGUCUUGCCAAUAUUACGGCCAACUUCAGGCAACUGUUUGGGCCCAAAAACAAGAGCAGCAACACCAGCAAUCACCGCCAGCUCUGGGACUCCAAGUCCAAACAAACAGUAACAAGAAAGACCCCUUUUGCUGUUGCUCCUUACUUUUCUUGUAGUUGUUGGAGGACCCAGAAACAGUUGACUGUUGCUGUUGAAGAAAAGUGAGCUAGAAGAACAUAAAGUUUGAAUCUUGGGUGCUGAAGAAGAAGAUGAAGAUGAAAUGGGUUUUGGUGUGAAGGAUAAAGAAAGAGUUGUAGUAACAGCAGCACCAGAUGAGAUUAUUGCUGCCAUUUUUUCUGAAUCUUGGAUUUUCUUGAUGUUAUAUGACCUACAGUUGUUGUUCAAG
rnacentral:misc_RNA from 1 species